CACGUAGUUAGCCGGUGCUUCUUAUCUAGGUACCGUCACAAAAAGCUUCGUCCCUAACGAAAGGAGUUUACAACCCGAAGGCCGUCAUCCCCCACGCGGCGUCGCUGCAUCAGGCUUGCGCCCAUUGUGCAAUAUUCCCCACUGCUGCCUCCCGUAGGAGUCUGGGCCGUAUCUCAGUCCCAAUGUGGCCGUCCACCCUCUCAGGCCGGCUACCCGUCGCCGCCUUGGUAGGCCAUUACCCCACCAACAAGCUGAUAGGCCGCGAGCUCAUCCUACACCGAAAAAACUUUCCAACCAUCACACUAAAAAUGGCUCCUAUCCGGUAUUAGACCCAGUUUCCCAGGCUUAUCCCGAAGUGCAGGGCAGAUCACCCACGUGUUACUCACCCGUUCGCCACUCGAGUACCCUGCAAGCAGGGCCUUUCCGUUCGACUUGCAUGUGUUAAGCACGCCGCCAGCGUCGUCUCGUAGCCGACGACGUCAACGUACU
rnacentral:rRNA from 1 species